UACGUAGGGUGCAAGCGUUGUCCGGAAUUAUUGGGCGUAAAGAGCUCGUAGGCGGUCUGUCGCGUCGGCUGUGAAAACUCGGGGCUCAACUCCGAGCUUGCAGUCGAUACGGGCAGGCUAGAGUUCGGCAGGGGAGACUGGAAUUCCUGGUGUAGCGGUGAAAUGCGCAGAUAUCAGGAGGAACACCGGUGGCGAAGGCGGCUAUCUGGACGGUUUCUGACACUAAGACUCGAAAGCGUGGGGAGCAAACAGG
rnacentral:rRNA from 1 species